UUGGAGGAACCGGAUGAAGACCAGUUUCAUCGCGAUUAUGCUCAUCGUGAUGACCGCAGCUCUCUUCUAUGUGAUGGUAGUUUAGAUGAUCGAUAUCGACUUGUAAUGUGAAGACAAACUCGCUACUCGCGGUCUCGAGACUUGUAAUGUUCUAACUUUGUUCGGUAUUUUAAAUUCGGAGACUAAUAUGAUGAAUUGUAUUCGGAGACUAAUCUUCUAUUGUAUUCGAUAAAUCUG
rnacentral:lncRNA from 1 species